CUUAGGGGCAUCAGCCUUCAUACUUGUGAAGGCUGCGCAUGCUGUCCAUAAUAACCCAUCAGAAUGAGUUACUUCAUCAGAUUACUUGCGAGUAAAUAAGAUGAUUUACAAGGAAAACCCAAGUUGUUUUCUGGUGAUAAACGAGCCUUUAUUUUUCACUGCAAGCAAGUCUCCUGAAGCAGGCUGUGCGUGUCAAGAGCCAGCUGUUCCCCUGGCCUGAGCAGGCCGCGGCCAGGGCAGAGCGGCUCCCUCGGCUCCUCGGGAAGGCUUGUGCCUCUUUAAGAGCACCGAGUGGGAGGCGAUAGAGGCACCGCUGUACAAACAAGCUCCCGAGCACCCUGCGGCUCUCACCUGAGCCCGGCACAGCCGAGGGGAGCCCGCCCGGCCCUCCCGGCAUGCGGCCGGUAGAGCCGCUCGGGCCCGGGGCAGCGCCUGCCAGACACCCCGGGCCGCUGAGGAGCUAGCAAAGACUACGUUCAACACAGCAGGCAGGAAAAGCAUUCUUCAAUAGUUCCAGCUGGCUGGAAGGACUGGGGUGGAUUCCUUGCAGGGCAGAGGCCCCAAGGCAGCAUCCUGCCCAUCCACUCCACUGCAAGACAGCAGCAACACAGAGUACAUCACUGUCCCCCUCUAUGUGGUUUUGCUCUUUUUCCUAAUAAUCAAAAGCUUCAGACUCUUGACAUGGAGGAAAUGAUGGUGGAAACAAUCCUGGCCCCGUGGGAAAUCCUGCUGGUCAUUUUUGCUGCAGUGCUGGUAAUGAGUUUCCUGAUGCUGCUGCCCCCCGCUGCAGUGGUGAUCUGGAGAAUGAAGCGUGUGCCGCAGAUUUCACUGCAAGGCUCGGUGUGAGCCACUCCUGCUGCACCACCUGUGCCCUGAGGAUGGUUCACAAUGAUAACAUCUCUCAGGAUCACUCUCACUACCUGUGAUCCACCCAAAAACAGUGGGUCUACCAGUCUGUUGCUACUAAGUUCCUGUGGAAAGAGAAUGUGUGUAAUUUUGUCGUCAUUAACUGCAGCUCUCGGCACUUUGCCUUCCAUUUUUUGGCUGGGUUGUAAUUACUGUUGUUGGCUCAGUUCCUAGACUGAGUUCUUCUCCUGUGUUAUAAUGGACUGAAAGAGAAGCAAGGAUAAGGCAGCACUGUAUUCCCUUAAUUAAUAUCAGGAAAGCCUCCCUCUCUAUAGUUACACUGUAAAUAUUAGUUGACUGACAGGUGGACUUAUCAAAAGCAUGCAGGAUACUCUGGGGAGGCAGUAGUUUAGUCUGGUUGUAUUGCAAAACCUAAAGAAAAUAAAAUUUCAGAGAAAGGUGCA
rnacentral:lncRNA from 1 species